rnacentral:misc_RNA from 1 species
UUGGUACAGUUGCCUUAAGAGCUGGUCCCAUUUUGGCUGCAAGCGGUUUCUUUGAUGCAGUGAUAAGUGGAAAGGGAGGACAUGCUGCCAUUCCACAGAACUCAAUUGAUCCUAUUUUAGCAGCUUCCAAUGUGAUCGUUAGUUUGCAACAUCUCGUUUCACGUGAAGCUGAUCCCUUGGAUUCACAGGUAGUGACAAUUGCAAAAUUCCAAGGAGGUGGUGCAUUCAAUGUUAUUCCAGAUUCUGUUACUAUUGGUGGCACAUUCAGGGCAUUUUCCAAAGAGAGCUUUAUCAAACUUAAACAACGAAUUGAAGAGGUUAUCACAAAACAGGCUAGCGUUCAAAGGUGCAAUGCUACUGUCAUAUUUAAUGAAGAUGAGAAACCCUUUUACC